AUGGCGGUCAAGUCUCUAGUUCUUCUUGGUGUCGUACUAGCCUCGCUCCUGCUUCUCUCCGAGGAUGUAGCGGAUGCUAGAGAGCUUACAGAUGCUAAAGAGUCCAAGGAGAAGAAUGUGAAACCUGCAAGAGGGUCGGGCCUGCCUAAGGAAGAGAAAUGGGGAGGUGGAAACAAGCAUGAUGGAGGAUACGGAGACGGUGGAGGGUAUGGCGGUGGCGGGUACGGUAACGGUGGGGGAUAUGGAAAUAGUGGUGGAGGUUAUGGCUAUGGAGGUUAUGGAAACAAUGAUGGUGGGUAUGGUGGAGGAUACGGCAAUUCUGGGCAUGGUUACGACGGUGGAGGCUAUGGACCUGGAUAUGGUGGCGGGUAUGGCAAUGGCGGUGGAAAUGGUGGAUUUGGCAGCGGCUUUGGUGGGGGAUAUGGUGGUGGCGGCGGAUAUGGUGGAGGUGGAGGAUACGGUGGCGGUGGCGGUGGAGGUUACGGUGGAGGAUAUGGUGGCGGUGGCUAUCCUUGA
rnacentral:rRNA from 1 species